GACGAACGCUGGCGGCGUGCUUAACACAUGCAAGUCGAACGGAAAGGCCCUGCUAUUGUGGGGUGCCCGAGUGGCGAACGGGUGAGUAACACGUGAGUAACCUGCCCUAGACUUUGGGAUAACUUCAGGAAACUGGGGCUAAUACCGGAUAGGAGACCCUGCUGCAUGGUGGGGGUUGGAAAGUUUCGGCGGUUGGGGAUGGACUCGCGGCUUAUCAGCUUGCUGGUGGGGUAGUGGCUUACCAAGGCAUUGACGGGUAGCCGGCCUGUGAGGGUGGCCGGGCUCAAGGGUACUGAGGGACGGCGCAGUCGGCAACGUGAGGCAGCAGUGGGGAGUAUGGCACAGUGGUCGGGAGCCGGUGACGGAGGCGCCGCGGGCGUGAUGACGUCCUGCUGGGUGAAAACCGCUGUCGCCUGAUACGAAGCUUGAGUGACGGUAAUGGGUAAAUAAGCACCGGCUAACUUCGUG
rnacentral:rRNA from 1 species